UUCUUCUUCUUCUUCUACCCGUGACAACCACACACACACACACACCCACAGCUACACCUACUCGAGGAAAUCAUCACCAUCAUCGCCGUUGAAUUGCUUCUCUCUCUCUCUUUCUCUCUCCCCUGCUCGCGGUGCCGGAGUACGCCGAGCACCUCCGGCGAGUUUUGGUUGUUUUUCCGGUUGGGUUUUGGAGUGUUUUUGGCACGGGUGAGUGCACACCCAAAUUUCCGGCGAGCACCGUCCCUUUCGAGGCGAUUUCCGGCCAAACCACGGCGAUUUGGCCGGCGUGCGAGUUUCCGGCGACCUCAGUGACUUUCGAGGUGUUUUCCAGCCAAACCACGGCGAGUUAGACGUCGUGUGAGGUACCAUUCUCUUCGUCUCUUCGAGAGCUACGAUUUUCAUUUUUGAAUCAAUUGAUUUCGUCGAGUAUUAACAAAGUUACGGACGUUCAAAGUUUGUCUAAAUUCCGGCUGAAUUCCGGCCUUCUUCUCCGGCGUGAAACCCAGCCCAAGAAAACACCCAGGCCUUCAGGCCGUUUCCUUCCCCCACGGGCCUUAGGCCCGUUUGGUCUCUGGCCCAAAACCCUAAACCUUUUCCUUUUUAUUUUUAUUUUGUUUCAUUUAAAAACCCAAAAGGCCUUCGGGCCUUGGUUGCAGCCCAAACCCAUUUCCCCUUUUUAAUUAGGCCUUGGGCCGUGAGGUUCAAGAACCCAAACCCAUUUUCUGUUUUUACCCAAACCCAACCCACUUAAAACCCUAGCCCAAAACCCUAGUUGCAAGCCCAAACCCAUUACCCUUUUAUUUAGGCUUUUGGGCCGUAUGGUUUCUAACCCAAAAUCCAACCCACCUAAAACCUAAACCCAAUUACCCUAACCCAAACCCUUAGGCCCAAACCCGGAUCCAAUACCCAAACCCUAAAGCCUGACCCGUUGACCCGUGACCC